GACGAACGCUGGCGGCGUGCUUAACACAUGCAAGUCGAACGCGCCUGUCCUCUGGGUUUCUGGGGGGUGGGUGAGUGGCGAACGGGUGAGUAACACGUGAGUAACCUGCCCCCUUCUUCGGGAUAACGGUCUGAAAGGGCUGCUAAUACCGGGUAUUCACUGGUCUCCGCAUGGGGUCUGGUGGAAAGGUUUUUUUCUGGUGGGGGAUGGGCUCGCGGCCUAUCAGCUUGUUGGUGGGGUGAUGGCCCACCAAGGCUUUGACGGGGAGCCGGGCUGAGAGGGUGACCGGUCACAUUGGGACUGAGAUACGGCCCAGACUCCUACGGGAGGCAGCAGUGGGGAAUAUUGCACAAUGGGCGCAAGCCUGAUGCAGCGACGCCGCGUGAGGGAUGGAGGCCUUCGGGUUGUGAACCUCUUUCGCCCGUGGUCAAGCCGCGACGUGGGUCGUGGUGAGGGUAGUGGGUAAAGAAGCGCCGGCUAACUACGUG
rnacentral:rRNA from 1 species